CAUAUUUGGAAACUAGACUUGAAUAGCUUUCCAACGAUAGGUGGCACGCCCCGAGGAGACUUCUAGUCAAGGAGUUAUGCCUUUCGGAAGAUUGCACUGUUUCUGCUGAAAUCUGCCACGCGUACGCGCGGAUCACUAAUCCGCCUAUUAAUGAUUUAUUUAAGACUUUCUUUAUCUUGUAAAUUACUUUCCUAGUCAUAUUAGGUGAAUAUUAUUUAGAUAGGUUUUUCAUUCUUUUUCUCUCUCCUCCCCUUUCACGUUAUUUUUCAUUCUCUUAGGUUUUAGUUUUCUCUCCUCUUUCUCUCUAGUUUUUUGUAGUAAACCCUAUUUUUCAUCUCCUUCAUUAAUUCAUGAUUUCUUUUAGUUUC